GGUGUGUGGAGCUAGUCUUUUUGUGCUUUGGUCUCUUCUAUUCAGAGCUCUGUGGUUCUUCGUUGGCAUGAGCUCCUUGUAUGUGGUUGUUUUGUUUGUGAGGUGAUUCAUACCUUUUAGCUGGUGGUUGUGCAUUAUGCAUGUGUUUUCCUGCUUCGUGGUGACUUUGGUCCGGUGAUUAUUCUUUCUCAAUCUUUUUUUGGUGUUUUGGAUUGGUGCUUGAUCGCGUUCAUUUGUGUUUCAGACUUUUAUUGAGUAAGUGUUACUAUAGUAUUCUAUUUUUUCUUUGUGAUUGUGGAGAUUUAAGUUUAGAUUAUGUGUCUUACUCUAGUUUUUUUAGUUUAGUUAUUUUCUGAUUUUAAUAGUAAAAUAAUUAUAAUUUGUAAAUAAAAUAAUAGAAAAUUAAUAAAAAAUAAUAAAAUAGUAAAAAUUUAUGUUAUUUUUAGUUGUGAAUAAAU
rnacentral:lncRNA from 1 species